rnacentral:rRNA from 1 species
GUCCACGCCCUAAACGAUGUCGACUGGUUGUUGGGGGUUUGACACUCUCAGUAACGAAGCUAACGCGUGAAGUCGACCGCCUGGGGAGUACGGCCGCAAGGUUAAAACUCAAAGGAAUUGACGGGGACCCGCACAAGCGGUGGAUUAUGUGGAUUAAUUCGAUGCAACGCGAAAAACCUUACCUACCCUUGACAUGUCCUGGAGGCUCCAGAGAUGGGGCUGUGCCCGAAAGGAACGGAACACAGGUGCUGCAUGGCUGUCGU